AUGGAGUCGGGGGGAAAAGCACCUUCCGGGCCGCCAAAGGACAAGGAGGCAAAAGCAAAACCGGCGGUGGUGCAGCAGCACCCCAAGCUGCUGAUGGCCGCCCGAAAGGGCCACUGGACACCGCUAAAUGUUCUUAUGGGCAAUAGCGGUGCCGGCGCCACUCCGCCGGCGGUUCAUGCUGUCCCGCCCGGAGGCCUCAUCAACAUCGUCAUCGAUGACGAGCAGGCCGACGUCGUUGAUAAUUCUGCAACGACGAUCACCUUGGACGUGGAGCUGAACAACGUCCUCCAUGUCGUGGCGUCCAGUGGAGACGGUGACGAGUUCCUGGAGAGCGCGAGGGGCAUCUACUGCAAGGCCAAGCACCUCCUGGACGCACGCAACAAGAAGGGCGACACGCCCUUCCAUUGCGCUGCCAGAGCUGGGAUGCUGAAAAUGGUCACUCACCUCAUCUGUCUGGCGAAAGCUGAGGGCGGCGACGACAGGGUGAAGGCAGCACUGAGGAAGCAGAACGAGCAGGGGGAGACGGCUCUCCAUGCGGCCCUCCGCUUGUCGGACAAGGAGACAGUUCGGGCAAUGGUCCAUGAGUUAUGGGUCGCGGAUCCAGAACUGACUCGUUUCCCUCUUGCAAGCGGCACGUCGCCACUGUACCUGGCCGUCUCGUUAGGGCGUGAGGAUAUUGCCGAGGGACUGCAUGAGCAGGACCCGGGGCUCUCCUACUCUGGACCAAAUGGACAAAACGUCUUGCAUGUUGCCGUUCUCAGGAGCACAAGUGAGUUAUACUAUAUGCUACUAUAUCAUUCAUCAUAG
rnacentral:rRNA from 1 species